GUCCAGGUAAAGCUCACGGAGGAGGUGGUCACGCGGUGGUCAGUGACGGGGCCCGUCCUGGCACCAGCACCCAGGCACCCGGGACAGUCCGUGGAGCUACUCAGUCCAGCCUCAUGCAGGUGGAAGGUCACUUUGGGUUUACCACUGCACGUCUUACAGCAAAACAUUCACUGUAGCCUGUGGCUCAAAGGCAAAGGAUUCGAGGAUGGUGGCAGUGGACACAGAGGAGUAGGAAGCUGCAGGAAGUCAUCUCACCACGGAAUGAACAACUGAACUGUGUUAGGCAACUAUUCCCGGACUCUGGAGCCUAGUAGACCAUGCAGUCUCCAGGGGAAGCUGGAUGAAGAAACUCCAGUCCAUUUUAGUCCAUUUAGCCCCCACCAAAUAGUGGGGAUGUUUGCUCAACCUUGCAAAUUAUAUUAAUAAACCAUUCAGUUGUGCCCUCGAAAUGGGUGAGUCGUACAGUGUGCAAAUUGUAUCCCAAUAAGCUGUCACGUUAUCAAAAGCAAAGGGUUCACAGUCAGGGCAUCUGCUUUAGGGCAGCGUAUGACCUGGGCGGGGAGGGGGGAGGGGGGGACAGAGAAGCAGGGCCACACAGUGUUCGCUGAGAUGGUCCGCUCACCUCCAGACUGAGGCAGCGUCACAGGCCACCAGGUCCCCAGCGACCAUGAUCUACCUGGGAGUGUCCCCGCAGAGACCAGGCCGGCCUGCAAGAAGUCUGCUGAAUAGGAACAUAAAUAAAACAAGUGACUUUUUCACCGGUGCUGGGUCAAUGCUACAAAGCCGGUUCUGCUGGGAAUGGCUGCUGGCACAUUUUGAAAGAAGGACGGGCCCGGGGCCAGAGAUCAUGGUGCGGGGGGAUGAUGCUGACCUUGGCCUCCUUGGCCUCCUUGGCCUGGGCAGAGCACACGGCUGACGUCCACCUGUGCAUCCCGCCACUCUCCUAAAGGGGCUGCAACCAGCACCAAGGCCGUGUUAGACUCUGUUAUCACAGAAAGCAGUGCAGGUGGGCCUCCCCCUCCUCUGAUUAAUGU
rnacentral:lncRNA from 1 species